ensembl:lncRNA
CCUCCUAUUACACUUGAACCUGCAAUGUUAGUUGUUGAUUUUUGGAACCAAUAUGUUUGAACAGACGAGUAACAUUUCAUCAGGAGUCGUGUUUCUGGCCCCCCUGUCAUUGUAAGUUCAAUAUCUGUUCACUGUUAGCUGCGUUUUUGGACUCAACCAACUCCAUCUGGAUAAAUCUGGAUAUUUGUGUGCCUCUAACAACAGACAUUUUUCCCUCUGUCGUUUGAUUCCUGCUAGACAUCAGCUCCACAUCCUGUCUGUAAUGCCUGCACAUUUGUUUUUUGACUUUGUUACUAGAGACAGUCUUAGUAGAGAUUUAAGCUCUCAUGCACAAUCGAAACAAAUGUAAUUUGAACGUUUCAAAUAAUCUUUAGUUUUGCGAGUAGUGUGUUUUUGAUUUACUAGACAAAUAUUAGACUGGAUGAUUUGGUUGAUGAACGAUUUUUGCUGUAGGACAAAUAAAAUCCCUCAGAUUUAUCUCUGCUGGUCACAUUUACACUCGUAUGCUGCCGCUGCAUUAGUCAGCCAAAUCCAAAUAAGUCCAAGUCCAAAUACAUUUGGUGAAACUAACUUGUUUAUUCGCAUGAAUGCUGCUCAGAGUAAUGUGAGUAAAUCUUCUUUCUUGGCAAAGAUGAACAUAAAUAUAUUGGUAACAUGAGGUUUUCCAAAGACUUUGUGAAAUGUGUUUUUUAAAUGAAAAUAUAUUAAACACAGGUGUUUAAAAGAGAUUUUCACAACAAUAUUAAAUAGAUACCAGAGAGGAAUUGCGACCCUUUCAGGUUGCUAACACUACAGCUCAUAAUAUGGCAUCAAUACCUAACGUCCAUGUAUUAUCUGUUUUGAUUAAACAGGUGGUAUUUAAAUAUAAAUACCACCAUGUUUUCCCAAAUUACCAUGUUUUUGUUUCAUGCAAAUAACUCGAUGCAUGCCUAUUACUAUAAUAUUCAUAGAAAGAUGCGGCGAUUCCAGGGCCAGAGCGGUGCAGUCAAUGUGUUGUUCGAGCCGGAAGGUACUGGUAUGCUGUAUUAAUAUUAGCAAUAAGAACCUUUUUAUAUCAUUUUUUAUGAUUUUUAAUCAUCUUGAAUCCCCUAACGUAGCGUAUACUUUCUGCAGUAACAUCUGAAAAUAAUGUUUAGCACCAUAAGGAGAGCUGCAAAGCGUACUAUCCAUAUGCUGUGUUACAUACACAAUCUGAAUGCACUUCUGUUGUUGCUCCUGAAAUGCUUUGUUUGAUAUGAUCAUAUUCCGCUUAAAAACAUGUAUUUACAAAUUGGUCGUUUUGGACAUUAAUGCAGUAGUAGGUUUUCGGCUACUGUCAAACGUAAAUCCGUGUGUUAAACUUAAAGCUGCUGCUAACAUGGCGGAGUGGCAGUGAGAAGCAGCACGAGAGUCUGACUGAAGAAAAGGACGAGCAGACAUGAAAUGUGAUCGAGCGAGUUCAGUCACUCAGGCAGCACUGAAUUAGACGUCGACAGAGGCGAAUAGAAAUGACGCAGAGAGCGAUGGGGAAAGACAAGGGGUCGAGAACAGGGCCGGACAGCUGCUGAUCGGCAGAGAGGACGGACGGGGAGGGGAAGUGCUGGGAGAAUAUACUCUGAGAGGAGGGAGGCAGCGGUGUAAAUUACAGCGAGAACAGAAGAGACGAGGAGACAGGAGCAGGCGAGACGGAGAGGACAUUUGGAAAUGAGCUGAAGAAAAAGAGCCAUAUAUUGAAGGACAAAUGGGUUUCAUCCAUUUUUAUAUACAACAACUAACCACUAACUGCAGUCCUUUCAUUUCAAAAAGAAGAGAGGGAAAACAGGUUUUAAAUAUCUGAGAAAAAUAAGAACUGUUGAAAAGUUACCUGGUUGCUCCUCAAGCCGGAGAUUAAGACCCGUCCACUCUGACAGCUGGAUGUAAGGUUCUUAAUGUGAGGUUUUAGACUGUGUGACAGCAUGAGCGCUGUCAACUAUGCUUCAUUACGCUUCCAGGGAAAGUUUUAAAAAUACUUUAAACUAUUUUAAUUGAAACAAAACAAUUACAGCUAUAGUUUUACGCAACACAACCUCUUGAUUAGAUUCAUCACAACUUCAGCAGCCAAACGUGUAUCUAAACAGUCACUAUUGUAACAUUGUGUAUUUACUUGUGUGCUGUCCAUGACACCUCUACUGUGGUCCGCUGCAUGUGCAGAUGUGCAUGCCACAUAUAUGAAACAGUGCUUGGAGCUCUAUGGGAAACAGGGUGAAUUUUCACGGUGGAUGGGACACAUUAACACCUCAUGCAAGGUUGAUCCGUCUCAAUGUAACCCACAUUCAAGUAAAUGGAUCACAUCAACCACGAUCAGCCAGUUGUGAAGUACUGACUGACUGCCAGCCUUUCCCAGAAGGGAAAUGACGAGGACGUCACAGUCACACGGUGGAAAUCACCCGAUGCGUUCUGGGGAUAUCUGUGUUUUCUUUUCCUCAUUAUAAUAUAACAAUAAUAAUGGAUUUUAUUUAUGAAGUGCUUUAAAAAAGUACUCAAGGUGUUCUACAUGAGUGCAAUGUUCUGUGGGAACAGUAAUAUCAACAAAAGCUAUAUUGAUAUAACAGUAAGAAACAAAUAUAGUAUCACAAACACACAAAGCCAAGAGGUGAUGUGAUUCGAAAUGAGAGAAAUAAAAACAAAUAGAUGAAACAGAAAAACAGCAGCACGGAUUAUGAUGACCACUGUUCAGUUGAGUGUCAAGCUAAAAUCCACGGAAAAGAGGGCUGCACAUAGAAAAGGACACCAGUGGCAUUUAUUCUAGUAUUGUAGAGUUGUUUAGAUUUUCUCAUUCUAUUAAGUCUUCAGAGAGCAGUAGAAAAGAGUCAUUUAACACUAAUCCUCACCAAAUAAUUCUGCUUCAUUUGUAGGCAGAAUGAGAGGAUUUAACGCCAGCUCACAACCAGACGAGACGGGCAGUGAAACGGAGGCCUCCGUGUCGGUUAACAUGUGCGUUUGUGACUCCAUCGGGGAUGACAACUGGGAGGAAAAAAGAAAGUGAUUACUUUGCAGUCAUCUUGAAAAUGAGGCCCAUUCAAGUUUGACUCAACUGUCUGUUUGACGGGACGCCUUGUUAAGAGUGAAUUAUUCAUGUAAUUUGUCUAAUGUGUCCCAUGAAAAGGCUCCGUGUGUGUGUGCACAUGAGCUUGUGUUACAUUGCAGCAGCCUGCUAGCACGGACAUUAACGUAGACAGUAACUAAGAGGCAGCGUUUUGCUGCAAUCUGCGUUAAAAAGAUUCCAAAAUCAGGUAGAAUUAUUUUUGAAAUGACAUUUAGUCAAAAUGUUCCUGCUGAGUUAUACAGUGGGAAAAGUCAUUCCAUCUCAGGAAAUACACGUAGCCCCGCCCAAAUGACUAAUACUGUUAAAAUAAAACCCAAAUGAAUAAUAAAUAUUCAUAUGUUCUUAAUGAUAGCAUCAUACUGUAUAUCAUAGUAACUGUUUAUUUCCUCUAUUUCUUUUCACCUCGAGAAGUACCGUUAUUUAGACUUUAUUUAGCAGCCACACAAGCCGUGCCUCUAUAUAUAAGGUGACUGACAUGGAUGGAGUGGCUCUGUCUGGCACUCUAACAAACCUGCGUUGGAGUGAGGUAGAAAUAAUAGAAAAUGAUGUAUAGCUCACAGCGUGGAGGAGUGAUGUGGAGGAGGGGGGUCUGAGCUGAGGUGAGCCCACAGAGAUGCAGGAAUCAGUUGAAAGAUCUGCUGUCAACUGGAUCAGAGAAACGGUUUCUAAUGUUUCACAAUGUGUCUGUGAAAUAUAUCAUGCAACCCGACUGCUGGCCGUGCACCAAAACCCUUUCCCAAAGAGCAAUGGUCUGAUCAUACGACCAAGAGGAUGAAAUCAAACAGCCCCACAUCUUUACUGAUCAUGUAUAUGUACUAGGGGUGUAACGAUUCGUUCACUGAAUCGAUUAAUCAAUUUAUAUUCCUGCGAUCCAACUGAAUCGAUCUGUGCUCCGCAAAUCGAUCGAUUACAAAUCGAUUGAAAUGGUACAUAAUCGAUACUUGGAAACUGUACAUUGGAUUUAAGUACAAAAACGGUAUGGAUGUGUUUGUUUUUUGUUUUUUAGCACUUUAGACACGUUAAACGUUACUCGAUUCAGUCUGCCUGUCUGUGACGUCAUCAGUACGCAGCGGCAGCCGCGCGAAAACCGUAACAACAACAAAAUACAGCGUGGAGGAGACGACUGCGAGCGAGACAUUUACACCUCUAGCAGCGUUACUGCUGCAGCAGCAGCAGCAGGUAACUCCAGCUCUGCAGACACCUCAGGCCUCGCCAGCACCAAACUCAACAUUACAGCAACAAUUGUUUAUCUGUAAAGAAAUGCGACCCUACAAUGUGGUUGAAACUCCGGGGUUCUGUGAAUUGAUCCAAACAUUGUGUAAUUAUAGUGUAAUGUUUACAUUGAAAAUGGCACUUGAUUCAAAUAAAAGGUCAAUACAUUUGCCAUCAAUUGUUGUUUGCUUGUUUAUAAUAUCCAUAAUUAAUUUAAACCUGAUUUCCUUAAGAGGAACAACAGGGAUCUCAGAAACUUUGCCUGCACUGUCCAGUAAAGUUACUGAAUCAAUUUCAAGUCACUGAAUCGAAUCGAAUAGAAUCGUUCUAAAUUAACCCAGAUUGUCCAUGAAUCGAAUCGGCAACCAUGAAUUGUGAUUCGAAUCGAAUCGUUGUUAAAAUGAAUCGUUACACCCCUAAUAUGUAUAUGUCUAUAUAUGAAACACAGCCAUUUCUUAUGUUAUAUUUAUAUGUGUGUGUGUGUAGAUACUAUCUAUAAACAGCAUUGCUUUUAUUUCAUACUGAAAGACAGAACAACCCUGCAGGCCCAGACCGUUGGCAGGAUACAUCAUGAUGUGCUUCUAAAAGGAAUGACCGUCCUUUGUAGUGCUGGACACCAGUCAUUGAUUACGACAUAGCGUCUGGUAGUUCAAAUCAAGAGGCCACCGUUUCGUUUGUUUUUCCAGGUUCAGCAAUGAUGUCUGCGGGUCAAUGUGACCCUGCGCAUGUUUAAUACAACUUUUGGGAGGUUUGGUGGCAGACGGAAUAUAAUUUGGACGUUGACCUGAAUUUAAAUACCAAGAUAGCGUCUCUUCAGCUUCCCCUUACUGGCGUGAAGGUCAUUUCAAAUGGUUUCAGAAGCGAACACUGACACAGCUCACUGUUCCUUAGCCGCGGUAAAUUAUUGAAGUGGGUGGUAUUUCUAACAGUACUGUAUAAAUUAACCAUCAUAGACCACACGCCGCCCCAAGAGGUGAAGGAAGAGGAAAUUGGGAGCAAAAUAUUUUUAUCAUAACUAUUUUUAGAACAAAAAUAUCUUAGAUGUCCAAAGGAGGAAGCAAGGUCACCACGAUGCACGAUACAAAACCUUUUUCCCCUCAGAGUAUUGUGACAUGAGCAAUAAUAUCAAGUGCUACUCUGGCGGUAAUCAGUUUUUAUGUCGACUGGUUGGAAAAUUUUAAGCAGUGGUACUUGAAAUAAACAAGGUGGAACAGCUGCUGGAUGGUGCUACUUGAACCAGAACUCAUUUCCAUCUGUCAUCAACAUGCAUCCAUCAUCAGUGCCUGAAGAUUAUUUUAUUACGUCAUAAAAUGCUGUCAAGUUAAAUUGUCAUUACAAUUAAACUUGACAGCAAAUGGACACGUGGAAUGUCUUCUUGAAAUCUUUGUGAAUAGCUUCAGGAUUACGGUGGAAGUAGCAUGAUGGUGUGGUUAUAAGAGCACUCAAACAUAAGUCAAACCCUGGGGAUGAAAAGUUAUUUAAUACCCAAACAAGGAUCUGGCACCAAGAGCAUUUAUCUCCACUCUGAAUUAUAAUUUUAUGCAAUUCUUUCCUAAAAUUGUGAUAAAAAUGCAAAAAAAUUGUAAUUGUUGUUUAAACUAUUCCUUAUGUUACAAUCACGUUGACCAGUGGUAGCCAUUUCUACUGUUUCAGGUUGGCAUGGCGGACUGCUCCGGUUAUAUCACAACACCCAAUAGGUCUCGAUCCCCAAUUCCAUGGAAAGGAGAGCCAGUCUCUGCUGCAAAUCAAAGUUGGAGUGAAUUCAAAAUGUCAUUCCAUGGCAAAAAAACUGCAACCUUUAUUAAUUGUUGAAAUAAUCUGAAAUUGACCCAUAAUUCUACGGAGAAGCUGCACUUCCGUUUUUAACAAAAGUGUGAUCUUUACUUUGCUCACCUUUUGGUAUUCAUUCUUAGCAACACAGGCUUGAUUUUUUUCAGCGUUCUUUUGUUCCAUUGCAGUGGUAAUUGUUUCCGGCUAACCCCUACUGAACUCUAAAAGAGAUCCCUUGGGAGACCGGGCAACUUGUGAGGAAGUGUUCAUUAAAACAAACAAUGCUUUCAGAAUUAUGUCCAAAUGACUUGUUUUGUCACAUGAGGACAAAUUAUUUUUUCACCAAAAACUACAGAAGCCACUAUGAGCGUGUUGGAAUGUUGCAAUGAAUUUCAUUGAAUCGAAACCAAUUAAUAAAAGAAUGAUCAGACUUUGGACUCCAGGCAUACUUCUAUCCGAGCGGCUGGUUUCCUGUUUGCUUGGAUCAUGUUUUGGAUAAUUAAUAUGAAUUUGAGUCUGGUUAUUGAUGCUCAUAUCAAAUAUGUAUCUUUAGAGCUAGAACACAUGGUCUUCAAAGAGUUGGCAGCUUUGCUUGUCCAUCUGGAGAUGGAGAAAACACUGAACAAAGAGUUGAAAAGCACCAUGUUAUGUUUAUAAUGUGUUCAAAGUUACGUUCCUGCCGACAAAAAGACAGAAUAGAGGAUUCUGGGGAAGUAACAGAAAAGAGAAGCCUGAGAGAAAGAGUCAGGGUGAGCGCUUAAAAAGAGAUGUGAAUGGUAAGGGGAGAGCGUAGAUGGAUGGAUCAAAAAAUGGGCAGAUUUCAGCAUGAAAAGCAAUAAAGAGAAGGAAUGGAAGAAAGUUAUGGACAGGGAAGAAAGAGACACACUCUGUGAAAGUGACAGAUAAUAAGAAAGAACUGACGUAUGAGCACCGCCCACCUCUGCAGAAAGAAAAACUUCCCUCCAAGACAAUAAAAGAAGGUCUACAUAUAUGUGAAAAGAAUGAAAAAGGUGGACAAGUGGUAAUGAGGACGACGAGAUAUGACUUGGGAUGAAGAGAUGAGAGGAUUAGAAAUAGGAUGGAUGAGAUGACAGAAAGGAGGUGAGGAGAAGGAGACACACUCUACAACGGAGAUGCUAAUGGAUCUGGUCCAUGAGCUCGUCUCCAUUCCCCUCCUUCUGUCCACCACACCGCAUACCUCACGCACGUGGUCUGCUGCGUGUGAAUUGAUGUUUCAUAGAGGACACAAUGGCCUCCUUUGGGGUAGAAAGAGCUUUGCUCAAUUUUUCUUUGUCACCCAUUGUGUGCCGCUGUGUGUGUGUGUGUGCACUCUGAACAAAAGGCCCAGUGUGGAAUUUUCUAGUUUUCUUUAUGUUGUGAAAAAAGAAGCACCGACUCUUCAUGUCUUCAUUUGGUACAACAGCUUCCACAAUUUUCUACGCUCAUUUCAAUCAGAAAAGGUAAAACAACUUUAAGAUUCAAAUUUAAAUGAAGUCUCUCUUUGUCCUUCUUGGCUAAGUACCCGUAUCAGACAUGUGUGAGGUUUUAAAAUGUAUUUGUGUUAACGUUUUAUGUUAAAUGUGUAUUGUAUGGUGUCAUGGUUUAAGUCCAUACAAAUGAUUUAUUCAUUUAUUUUCUUUACGUUUUUUCAAAUUGCAAAGACAUUAAAUACAGGCAGACAACGACUACCUAUCCGAACCUUUAUCACACCAUAAGUAUUGCUUGUUGCGUGCAUCCAUGUUUAGAGACCAAAAGCUGCUGAAGUCUGUUCUAGAAGCUACUUCAUUAAUCUCCUGCAUCCUGAUUGAGAGGCUCAAGGCCUCUGCUUCAGGAAGUAGAGGACUUUCAUUUCAAUUGCCUGUCCCCUCUUCGCAAACACGCUGUCACAAACACAUGCUUUAUCAAGUUCUGGAUCUUCCCAGGCCAGGGAUUGUCUGUCUGUGUGUGUUUGUUUAUGUGGAGGCACAGGCAGAAUAAAGCAUACACGUGCUGACAGGUAAAUUAAAUAAACAUAAAAUACAGCAUUAUGUGUCUAUCUUUCCCAUCAGCCAUAAGAUUUCUCUCAAGCACGCACAUCUUUUAUUACACAGUGUGGACAGGGUGAAGUGACUCGGGCUAAUACACCUUUCUCCAGGCUUUAUCAAGUUUUUGCAGGCCAUACAAAGCCUUCUGUUCAGUGUGUGCUCUCCUUGCUGUCUCAGAGCAACUCCACACUGCUAGAGCCGCCUCUCUUUCCUCUGUCCUCAUCCUUCUGGACCUUUCUGCUACAUUGGACACAGUCAACCACCAGAUCCUUAUUUUCCUCCUUCAGGAACUUGAUGUCUCAGGCUCUGCUCUCUCCCUUCUCUCGUCCUACCUCGACGGCCGCACCUACGGGGUAACCUGGCGAGGAUCUGUGUUGGAACCUUGUCCUCUUACUACAGGAGUUCCUCAGGGUUCCGCCCUGGGUCCCCUCCUCUUCUCGCUCUACACCAACUCUCUCGACUCUGUCAUUCGCUCGCAUGGCUUCUCCUACCACACCCAACUAAUUCUCUCCUUCCCUCACUCGGACACCCAGGUGGCGGCACGGAUCUCUGCCUGUCUGACUGACAUCUCUCAGUGGAUGUCCGCCCACCAUCUGAAAAUCAACCCCGACAAGACUUCAAACUACUUCUCUGUCCGGGAAAAGACUCUCUUACCCAGGACUUGACGGUUAACUUUGGCAACUCCGUCUUAACGCCGACUUUGACUGCAAGGAACCUUGGCGUCACACUCGACAGCCAACUCUCCCUGACUCCCAACAUCACUGCGACAACACGAUCCUGUAGAUACACACUCUACAACAUCAGGAGAAUACGUGAUUCAGGCUCUUGUCAUCUCACGCCUGGACUUCUGCAACUCGCUCCUGGCAGUCUCCCCGCUACCGCCAUUAGACCUCUGCAGCUCAUCCAGAAUGCAGCAGCUCGACUGGUCUUUAACCUUCCAAAAUUCUCCCACACUACUCCACUCCUCCGCUCUCUUCACUGGCUACCGGUGGCCGCCCGCAUCCAGUUCAAAACAUUGGUGCUCACCUACCAUGCUGUGAAUGGAUCGGGUCCAGCUUACAUCCAGGACAUGGUCAAACCCUACAUCCCGACCCACACUCUCCGCUCUUCAUCUGCAAAACUGAUUGUUCCUCCCUCACUGAGAGCAAAGACAAGCAGGUCAGGUUAAUUGGAGGCUCCAAACUGCCAGCAUGUGUGUAUGUAUGUGUAUAUAUGCCUUGUCACAUCUGUCCAUAUGGACCCCAACUCUUAGCAUCAGAUCUUUUUUAUAUGAUGUUACCAUUCCUCUCUGGCGCGGG